ensembl:lncRNA
CAGCUGAUUACUGAUAACGGCAAAUCAGCGUCUUUUCUGUAGUGUCUACUGCAGGAUGGAUAUAAAAGUAUAAAAUGGCCUACGUUUUGGUGUGACAACAUCAUUAAUAUGUGGACUAUCACAAUUAAAGCACAAAGACAUAACAACAUUACACCCCAAGACCGUUCACAAGUGUGAGAAAAGAGGAGAAACCGUUUCCGGAAGAGAAGUUCAUCAGGCGAGACUUUGUCGAGUCAUCCAGUUUAGCUGAGAGCGUUAACCCAUUGAAAAGUGUUCAGCGUACAGUGUACCCCUCUUUGCAUCAGAGGAAGCGUUAGGAGAGAGGAGAAGAGAGACCGUGAAAAGGCCCUUGACAGAUGUUGAAAUACGUGUUAUUGUGCAAGGGGUAGUUGCAUGGACUAUCAGUGGAGGGUCAGAAGGCUCAGAGAUUUCAUUAUAAAGAUCUUUAUUUGUGUUCUGAAGAUGAACAAAAGACUUAUGGGUUCGGAAUGACAUGAGGACUACAUCCAAAAUAGUGUUUCCACAUCUGAGAUAAAGUCAGUCACUAGCAAGCGGAACGAUGAGGAUAAGUUCUUCAAAAAAUGAAACCUGCCUGAAAAAUGAGGGAAGAAAUGUGCAUGAUUGCGUGAUUUGUAAAUAAACAUUAAGGACAUUUAGUGUAACUCUCAGUCUGUUAUUUU